UUUUUUGUUAAAUAAACUUCACUUAGUUCAUGACAAUAUAUAGUCUGUGCCUCAACGUCAGUACUAUUCAAACAGUAACAUAAAUAUAUUUUAUUUAUACAGAGAAAAUGUUCGAAGUUUUGCUUUUCUCAACAGUUUCGAUGUGUACCAUGGUACUCAUUGUACAUACAUGCAAGAGACAAUGGGCCGUAUCGAAACGCCGAUGUCAUAUCAAUAAGUUAAAGGAAAUGCAGUUCGAAGUACAAAUAGUUCUGCAGGAGGAACAAAAAGCUAUUGAUUCAGUAGCAUGGAUGAUGCGAUCAGACAUGGCCAGGAUUGAUUACGGUAAUGAUGAGUUCAAUGCAGAACUAGAUAACUUGCAUAGGAUUUGCUGGAACGCAAAAAAAGAAUUGGAAAAGUUGGAGACAAAGCUGCUUGAGUUCAACAACUCAAUGUAUCCAAAAUGAAAAUAAAUCGCUCAAGACAGUGAAGAUAGUCAACGUUUGCGUCGCAAAAAAAAACAAACUGGCAGAAAAAUUCGAGACGUUGGAGACAUAUUGAAGUAUGUGUUGGUCAUACCUGUUAAGGAUUUUUAAAUACUAUUUCUAAUCCGUGUUCCCAGAGCCUUUGUCGAGCUGCAUUCCUUAAGCGGAGUCCAAACGCGCCCUUAACGCUUUCAAUUGGUACUUGAGUGGAGCGCCAAUGAAGACAACCAGGACGAGGAGCAGUUUUGCAAGCAGACGGCGAUCGAAUUCGGCACGAGUCUGGGCAGCCCCUUCGCCCAAACGCAGUAAAAGCUCCUUCAUCGAUGUAGAGGGAAAUGUGCAGACAAAUCAAGAUGAUGAGGAAACACAAUAGUCUCCAUGCCCAG